UACCAUGCAGUCGAACGAUGAAGCCCUUCGGGGUGGAUUAGUGGCGAACGGGUGAGUAACACGUGGGCAAUCUGCCCUUCACUCUGGGACAAGCCCUGGAAACGGGGUCUAAUACCGGAUAACACUUCCCUCCUCCUGGAGGGUGGUUAAAAGCUCCGGCGGUGAAGGAUGAGCCCGCGGCCUAUCAGCUUGUUGGUGAGGUAAUGGCUCACCAAGGCGACGACGGGUAGCCGGCCUGAGAGGGCGACCGGCCACACUGGGACUGAGACACGGCCCAGACUCCUACGGGAGGCAGCAGUGGGGAAUAUUGCACAAUGGGCGAAAGCCUGAUGCAGCGACGCCGCGUGAGGGAUGACGGCCUUCGGGUUGUAAACCUCUUUCAGCAGGGAAGAAGCGAAAGUGACGGUACCUGCAGAAGAAGCGCCGGCUAACUACGUGCCAGCAGCCGCGGUAAUACGUAGGGCGCAAGCGUUGUCCGGAAUUAUUGGGCGUAAAGAGCUCGUAGGCGGCUUGUCACGUCGGUUGUGAAAGCCCGGGGCUUAACCCCGGGUCUGCAGUCGAUACGGGCAGGCUAGAGUGUGGUAGGGGAGAUCGGAAUUCCUGGUGUAGCGGUGAAAUGCGCAGAUAUCAGGAGGAACACCGGUGGCGAAGGCGGAUCUCUGGGCCAUUACUGACGCUGAGGAGCGAAAGCGUGGGGAGCGAACAGGAUUAGAUACCCUGGUAGUCCACGCCGUAAACGGUGGGAACUAGGUG
rnacentral:rRNA from 2 species